rnacentral:tRNA from 1 species
GCCUGGUUGGCCCAGUGGAAAAGGCGCUGCGGGGGCGGUUCUAAACCAUCCCGGUUCUGAACCGUGUGGUGGCCUGCCUUUCGAGAGACCCUGGUUCGAAUCCAGGACCGGGCA